rnacentral:tRNA from 1 species
CGCCUGUAGCUCAGUCGGAUAGAGCACUCGCCUUCUAAGCGAGUUGUCGCUGGUUCGAUUCCAGCCAGGCGCA